rnacentral:rRNA from 1 species
CGGAUCGCAGGCUGCAACCCGCCUGCGUGGAGCCGGAAUUGCUAGUAAUCGCGGAUCAGCAUGCCGCGGUGAAUACGUUCCCGGGCCUUGUACACACCGCCCGUCACACCAUGAGAGCCGGGGGGACCCGAAGUCCGUAGCCUAACCGAAAGGGGGCGCGGCCGAAGGUAAAACUGGUGAUUGGGGUGAAGUCGUAACAAGGUAAC